rnacentral:rRNA from 1 species
GAUGAACGCUGGCGGCGUGCCUAAUACAUGCAAGUCGAGCGAACGGACGAGAAGCUUGCUUCUCUGAUGUUAGCGGCGGACGGGUGAGUCACACGUGGAUCCCCUACCUAUAAGACUGGGAUAACUUCGGGAAACCGGAGCUAAUACCGGAUAAUAUUUUGAACCGCAUGGUUCAAAAGUAAAAGACGGUCUUGCUGUCACUUCUAGAUGGAUCCGCGCUGCAUUAGCUAGUUGGUAAGGUAACGGCUUACCAAGGCAACGAUGCCUAGCCGACCUGAGAGGGUGAUCGGCCACACUGGAACUGGGACACGGUCCAGACUCCUAAGGGAGGCAGCAGUAGGGAAUCUUCCGCAAUGGGCGAAAGCCUGACGGAGCAACGCCGCGUGAGUGAUGAAGGUCUUCGGAUCGUAAAACUCUGUUAUUAGGGAAGAACAUAUGUGUAAGUAACUGUGCACAUCUUGACGGUACCUAAUCAGAAAGCCACGGCUAACUACGUG